rnacentral:rRNA from 1 species
ACAUGCAAGUCGAACGCUUUUUCUUUCACCGGAGCUUGCUCCACCGAAAGAAAAAGAGUGGCGAACGGGUGAGUAACACGUGGGUAACCUGCCCAUCAGAAGGGGAUAACACUUGGAAACAGGUGCUAAUACCGUAUAACACUAUUUUCCGCAUGGAAGAAAGUUGAAAGGCGCUUUUGCGUCACUGAUGGAUGGACCCGCGGUGCAUUAGCUAGUUGGUGAGGUAACGGCUCACCAAGGCAACGAUGCAUAGCCGACCUGAGAGGGUGAUCGGCCACACUGGGACUGAGACACGGCCCAGACUCCUACGGGAGGCAGCAGUAGGGAAUCUUCGGCAAUGGACGAAAGUCUGACCGAGCAACGCCGCGUGAGUGAAGAAGGUUUUCGGAUCGUAAAACUCUGUUGUUAGAGAAGAACAAGGAUGAGAGUAAAAUGUUCAUCCCUUGACGGUAUCUAACCAGAAAGCCACGGCUAACUACGUGCCAGCAGCCGCGGUAAUACGUAGGUGGCAAGCGUUGUCCGGAUUUAUUGGGCGUAAAGCGAGCGCAGGCGGUUUCUUAAGUCUGAUGUGAAAGCCCCCGGCUCAACCGGGGAGGGUCAUUGGAAACUGGGAGACUUGAGUGCAGAAGAGGAGAGUGGAAUUCCAUGUGUAGCGGUGAAAUGCGUAGAUAUAUGGAGGAACACCAGUGGCGAAGGCGGCUCUCUGGUCUGUAACUGACGCUGAGGCUCGAAAGCGUGGGGAGCGAACAGGAUUAGAUACCCUGGUAGUCCACGCCGUAAACGAUGAGUGCUAAGUGUUGGAGGGUUUCCGCCCUUCAGUGCUGCAGCAAACGCAUUAAGCACUCCGCCUGGGGAGUACGACCGCAAGGUUGAAACUCAAAGGAAUUGACGGGGGCCCGCACAAGCGGUGGAGCAUGUGGUUUAAUUCGAAGCAACGCGAAGAACCUUACCAGGUCUUGACAUCCUUUGACCACUCUAGAGAUAGAGCUUCCCCUUCGGGGGCAAAGUGACAGGUGGUGCAUGGUUGUCGUCAGCUCGUGUCGUGAGAUGUUGGGUUAAGUCCCGCAACGAGCGCAACCCUUA